rnacentral:rRNA from 1 species
GACGAACGCUGGCGGCGUGCCUAAUACAUGCAAGUCGAGCGAAUCGAUGGGAGCUUGCUCCCUGAGAUUAGCGGCGGACGGGUGAGUAACACGUGGGUAACCUGCCUGUAAGACUGGGAUAACUUCGGGAAACCGGAGCUAAUACCGGAUACUUUCUUUUCUCGCAUGAGGGAAGAUGGAAAGAUGGUUCUGCUAUCACUUACAGAUGGACCCGCGGCGCAUUAGCUAGUUGGUGAGGUAACGGCUCACCAAGGCAACGAUGCGUAGCCGACCUGAGAGGGUGAUCGGCCACACUGGGACUGAGACACGGCCCAGACUCCUACGGGAGGCAGCAGUAGGGAAUCUUCCGCAAUGGACGAAAGUCUGACGGAGCAACGCCGCGUGAGCGAAGAAGGCCUUCGGGUCGUAAAGCUCUGUUGUUAGGGAAGAACAAGUACGAGAGUAACUGCUCGUACCUUGACGGUACCUAACCAGAAAGCCACGGCUAACUACGUGCCAGCCGCCGCAGUAAAAC